GACGAACGCUGGCGGCGUGCCUAAUACAUGCAAGUAGAACGCUGAAGCGAGGAGCUUGCUCUUCUUGGAUGAGUUGCGAACGGGUGAGUAACGCGUAGGUAACCUGCCUUGUAGCGGGGGAUAACUAUUGGAAACGAUAGCUAAUACCGCAUAACAAUAGGUGACACAUGUCAUUUAUUUGAAAGGGGCAAUUGCUCCACUACAAGAUGGACCUGCGUUGUAUUAGCUAGUAGGUGAGGUAACGGCUCACCUAGGCGACGAUACAUAGCCGACCUGAGAGGGUGAUCGGCCACACUGGGACUGGGACACGGCCCAGACUCCUACGGGAGGCAGCAGUAGGGAAUCUUCGGCAAUGGGGGCAACCCUGACCGAGCAACGCCGCGUGAGUGAAGAAGGUUUUCGGAUCGUAAAGCUCUGUUGUAAGUCAAGAACGAGUGUGAGAGUGGAAAGUUCACACUGUGACGGUAGCUUAUCAGAAAGGGACGGCUAACUACGUG
rnacentral:rRNA from 1 species